rnacentral:tRNA from 1 species
GCCGAUGUGGCUCAGUGGCAGAGCAGCUGAUUCGUAAUCAGCAGG